UGCUGGUGGCUGGCACCAGCAGGUCUGCGCCGGGGCCGGGCUGGUGAGACAAGUUCCCGGCCUCGCCCGGCUUCCCUGGAGCUGCUUCUCCCUCUUGCGGUCGUUGGCGAGGCGGAGUCAAGUUUCCAUACUCAGAAUGGAGAUGAUGGACAUUGGGUGUGGUGGAGAAGACUCUUGGAUUCUUGCCUCUCAUUAGGCCUUGAAGAACAAGAAUGUCUUAGCUUGGGCUGCUAUGACAGAAUGCCAUGAACUAUGUGGCUGAAACAAUAAAGAAGUAUGUCUCAUAGUUCCAGAGGCUGGGAAAUCCAAGAUCAAGGCACUGGCUGGCAGCUUCGAUGUCUGGCAUGUAUCCUUGGAGUCAUGAAUUGCUGUGAAAGAAGUCUAGUGAACUUGAAGCUACCAUGUAGAGAGACUUCAUGGAGAAGCCCAUUUAGAGAGGAGAGGCUGAUAGCCAAUAGCAGACAUCAAAUGCCUGACAUGUAAGCACACCAGCCAUUAGUUUUGAGUUUCCUGUCUUUGAGUCCUCUGUCUGAUACCUGAGACAGCAGCAUAGAUAAGUCAUCUCUGUUGUGCUCUAUUUGAAUUCCUGAUCUGUAAAACCACGAACAAAAUAAAUGGUUGUUUCUUGCCACUAAGUUUUGAGG